rnacentral:rRNA from 1 species
AUUGAACGCUGGCGGCAGGCCUAACACAUGCAAGUCGAACGAGUGGCGGACGGGUGAGUAAUGUCUGGGAAACUGCCCGAUGGAGGGGGAUAACUACUGGAAACGGUAGCUAAUACCGCAUACCAUCGGAUGUGCCCAGAUGGGAUUAGCUAGUAGGGGGGGUAACGGCUCACCUAGGCGACGAUCCCUCGCUGGGCCGAGAGGAUGACCAGCCACACUGGAACGAGGACACGGUCCAGACUCCUACGGGAGGCGGCAGUGGGAAAUAUUGCACAAUGGGCGCAAGCCUGAUGCACCCAUGCCGCGUGUAUGAAGAAGGCCUUCGGGUUGUAAAGUACUUUCAGCGAGGAGGCGUUACUCGCAGAAGAAGCACCGGCUAACUCCGUGCCAGCAGCCGCGGUAAUUC